CCCUUAGAUGUUCUUGGCCGCACGCGCGCUACACUGAUGCAUUCAACAAGCCUAGCCUUGACCGAGAGGUCCGGGUAAUCUUUGAAACUGCAUCGUGAUGGGGCUAGAUUAUUGCAAUUAUUAAUCUUCAACGAGGAAUGCCUAGUAAGCGUGAUUCAUCAAAUCGCGUUGAUUACGUCCCUGCCCUUUGUACACACCGCCCGUCGCUCCUACCGAUUGAAUGUGUUGGUGAGGAGCUCGGAUUGGCAGCAGUUGGUGGUUCGCCACCGGCUAUUGCUGAGAAGUCCUCCAAACCGCCCCAUUUAGAGGAAGGAGAAGUCGUAACA
rnacentral:rRNA from 1 species